GAUUAACGCUGGCGGCGUGCAUAACACAUGCAAGUCGAACGAUGAAGAUUAUUAGACUUCUUCGGAAUGAAAAUAAUUGGAUUAGUGGCGGACGGGUGAGUAACGCGUGAGUAACCUGCCUUACACAAGGGGAUAGCCGUUGGAAACGACGAAUAAUACCCUAUGAAACUAUCACUUCGCAUGAAGCGAUAGUCAAAGUGUUAGCGGUGUAAGAUGGACUUGCGUCUGAUUAGCUAGUUGGUGAGAAAAAAGCCCACCAAGGCAACGAUCAGUAGCCGGCUUGAGAGAGUGUACGGCCACAUUGGGACUGAGACACGGCCCAGACUCCUACGGGAGGCAGCAGUGGGGAAUUUUGCACAAUGGGGGAAACCCUGAAGCAGCGACGCCGCGUGAUUUAGAAGGCCUUCGGGUUGUAAAAAUCUUUUGUAUAGGAAGAAAAUGACAGUACUAUACGAAUAAGGUCCGGCUAAUUACGUG
rnacentral:rRNA from 1 species